rnacentral:lncRNA from 1 species
UGGGAAUUCAGGAACGCGUGUAGCAACCUAAAUAACGCCUUUGAUUCUGUGGAAAAGGAGUCACCAGAUUGCGGCGUUUAUGAUGCACGGACAGCUACGCACUUUCUAUAAACUACGGGGGGAAACGAACAGAGAGGCGUGUCAAGCCACGGCCGCCACACGGCUCAACGAGCCAUUGCCUGGGGUCGCCUCUUUUCACGAGAAAGUGCCGCGGUAGAACACAGAACUGGACGAUUUCUUGGGUCACGUGAGAGACGAAAUAGAGGGACGAGGCUUGAGCAAGCAUGAGGAGAAGAGACCUGUUUUCGCUAGGGAGCUGGCAAGGAGAUGCAGAACCCGUGCAAACUAGGAAGUCACCACGAUCCACGGUGAGUGGGGAAGAUGCCACACAUGAGUGGGCGCGCCGACGAUGUCAGCCCUCGCUCUCAAGCUCACCUUGGAGUGCCCCCUUCCUGCAGCUGGCAAACUGUCGCUGGUUGAGAUAUACUAAAAAGCAUGGCGCCGAGCCGUCUCUCUGUUUCAAGACGUCGAGUGGGUCUUGGCAAGAAAGGGGCUCCCUCGUUGAUGUUCAUGGUUCUCGUUUCUACGCUGCGAAUAAGCUGGCACUGGAGCUGGGGCAAAAGGCGUGGUUUCACCCGAGCAAGACUCUUGAAAGGGGCGUUUCUUGGGUAGAAGCGCAGGUUUUCGUUCGCCCACCCGGUGAUGGAGCGGAAGCCAAGAGCCAGUGUUGACGGGAAGAGGCUCUCAGUUUUUUCCUGCGGCUCGGUGCCUCGUUCGUCAGUGUUAUUUAUUCAUAGGUCCUGACUGCCAGAAUGCCGAUCCGCUUUCAGUACGCUUGGUGAAGAGCAGCAGCACGCGGAAGUCAACCGUCCGAUGGUGGGCUGCGGCCAACUGGUAUGUGACCCCCGUGGUAGCUUUCCAUGAAGCAGUGAUUUUUUUCAAAUGCUUGCAUCAGACGUGACGAACUCUUGUAUUCCUUGCAACGUGUGCCCAAGAGAAGUUAAACUGCUUUGGUGAGCGGGACCGUGUUUUCCCUGCAGGACACGUGGUGCGCUAGAAACAGCAAGUGUCUUCCAAGGCUCAGUCCAAUUCAUUGAACUCAUAAAAAACGUAGACAGUCGCAGAAGACUUUGUUCCCGGUGCCGUCCUGUUUCCUGGGUGCUACCCUCGCAAACCCGUCCUGGUGAGCAGGACUAUUUGUCCCUGCAGGACAGAAAAUGAUUGGCGUCAACCUUGCUCCACAGAUUGGUUGAAGAAAAACAUGAGCGCUGUAGUGGAACAAGUUUUGCGACCGAAGUCUUUUUUGACAGUUCAGAGACGCCCAGGUGCCACGAAAGAGGCAUUCGAGUCUCACAGAUUGCAACCGAAGACGAAAACAAACUCAGUAAGGUACGCUGGUUGGAAUGUGACAACCUGAGAUCCCUUAGAUGAGACAAAACGGUCUCUGGCAACUGUGAAAAUUUUGUACUCGUGCACAGACGCAUCAGUCCUUGCCAAAGGCCGGAACUUCUGCUUGACACGCUUGCAGCAAAUAAACUCGCAUAUCAG